CCUCAUUUAAGGACUGACAGCCACUCUUGAAGGAGCUCUGGUUGCAGUUUUCUCUUUUGUGGACUUUUCCCUGUGAGCCUAUAUCUUUAGAGACAGGGAGGCUCAGACUUUUCAGAGGAGAGGGAUGGGAGACCGAUGUAUUCAUAUGCAAUAGAAUCCUUCCCUCACAUGGCACAAGCUUGAACACAAUUGCAGCCCUCAUGCAGGCUGUGUUUGUGGAGGUGCCUGAAAGUAGAGAUAAAAACCUCCUGUGCUUUGUCUCUUUGAGGACAAGAGAUAAAUAGGUGAAUGAUGUCACUCCUCUUCUGUGACAGGUAACCACAUUCCUCUUUAUAAUACUGUCAAUCUCAUCUUAAAGACAGGAGGUGGCCCAAGCACAAACGGUGGCAUGAUGGGUUACCAAUCUCAACCAGAGGAGUAGUCUGUCUUCAUCACCACUGAAAGAAGAACUUCCAUAGAUCUUAGACCCAGUGACAUAUCACAGUGAUGCACUGAAAAAAAACAUUGGUUGAUCCACCUGAGAGGAGUCCCAAUCAGGAGGGGAAAUAUCCCUUUCCUGAAGAUGCCUGGUAUAUGGAUGGAUCCAGCGAG
ensembl:lncRNA